GAGACUAUCAGAGGAGGCAGGAGAGAAGGAGACCUUGGUGCUUAACCAAAGAGGCUGGCCUCAGAUCUGACUUCUUCAGGGAAUGGCACCCUUCACUCACACCCCAUGGAAGUGAGGAAUGUGAACAACAACCCUUUGGGAAGUGGGGAAUAAUCUCCAAAGGAAAGGGAAGGGGACACUAUCUUCUCAACCUCUCAGCCCUUCUGAAGGAAGUGCUCAGGGCUAUGGACUGGAAAUGACUCAAUAGUUUUCAAAGUUUCAUUUGCAUCACUCUGUCUGUGGUGAACAGAAUUGCUCAAUGUGUAAAUAAUGGGGAAUUAGACCACAGUUGAUUCAUGAUUUAGUUUCCAAUGCUAUGAAACGAGAAGAUUAUAUUAAAUAACGUCAAAGAUUACUUCCAGCUAUAUCAUUCCAUAUUUCUCCUGGGAACAUUAGGAUUUGGCUCAUGUUGGGGUAGUCAUGAUGAAGAAGAAGGGCCCUCAGCUCUCACUUAAGCACUCAGGGUACCAAGACACUGAAUAUCUGACCAAAAAGGAAAUAAAUAAAUAAAAAGACAGAA